UUUUUUUUCAUUGGAACUGAAUGACUCACUCUACUGGCGUUUUCCAUUUGUUUGAACAAAAUAAGUCUUCAGUCACCACUGGACCUGGUGACUUGUUAACAUGAAUGUGUUCACAGGUUCGGUCCCUGGCAGUGUUGAUGGCUCUUGGCCCUCUUAGCGUUUGUUCACAUGGCGUUUUUAUAGAGGGUAACGUCUCCAGCAGCGGCUCUUCAUUUCCCCACAGGCGAGCAGACCGCAGACUUCCUGGAAAAGGCUCGGUGGCCCGUUUGCAGAGCAAGUGCCAGUGAGCCUGGCACAGAGGCAGGCAUUAGGUGGCCUUUAAAAUCAAGUCAUAUUUGUUAACUGCAACAAGUAGAUGGAUUAAGCAUCUCUUGACGGCUUAAUGGCAAAACACACAAUGCUAAAAUCUCCAACAACAUAGCUAUGAGCUAGUAUAUUAGAGGUAAGACCCUAUGAUCCCCUAUGAGCACGCUCAGCUGGAAAGAAAAACUCCCUUUUAAGAGGGAAAAACCUCCAGCACAACCAGGCUCAGGGAGGAGCAGCCGCUGGGGGUUGAAGGGAAAGAGAAGAGGGUGAAAAACGAUAAGACAGAGACAAAACCCACAGUAUGAGAGAGAGGAUAGAGUUUAAUGACAUGCAGCAGGGAUUUAUAAAUAUACAGGAAGCUAUCAACUGGGAUUUUCCCACACUACCAUCUCUGUUGUUUAUCGUCCAACCGAGCUGCAGUUCUCUGGGUGAAAAUGCAUCCCUGGUGCCAGAGGUCAAAGGAGAGCGGCCGGACUGCUUUGAGCUGACUCAAAUAAGUCCUAUUUUCCUUUAGUUUGCUGUGGUGGUGUGUUUAUACCAGGAUAUCGUGGGUUUACAGACACAGAGAGUGGGUGUGAGUAGGUAAACCAAUUCAGAGCCACCUAAAAGAAUGUUAUCUAUACAGGAGAUGAGUGGGAGGGGUGCUAAUAAGAGGUAAGAUGCAAAAGGGUCUGGUCAGUGAUUAUGGGAUACAAGGCUACAAGCUGACCAUCUCCAUCCCUUUAUGUCCUGACUUCCUGCCCUCAUCCCAAACUGGCCCCGCCCCUCCCUGAGCCUGGUUCUUCCAGAGGUUUCUUCCUGUUCAAAGGGAGUUUUUCCUUCCCCCUGUCACCAAGAGCUUUCUCACAGGGGCUCGUCUGAUUGUUGGGUUUCUCUGUAUUAUUGUAGGGUCUCUACCUUACAAUAUAAAGCACUUUGAGAUGACUGUUGUUGUGAUUUGGCUUUAUAUCAGUUGAAUCAAAUGUAAUUGAAUCAAAUCUAUUGAUGGCUGCUUCCAGCAGGAUAACGCAGCAUGUCACAAAUCUCAUUAAUCACAAACUGCUUUCUUGAACAACACAGUGAGUUCAUCGUACUCAAAUGGCCUCCACAGUCACCAGAUGUCAGACCAGUAGAGCACCUUUAAAAUGUGGCAGAACAGGAGAUUCACAUCAUGGAUGUGGAGCCAAGAAAUCUGCAGCCACUGUGUGAUGCUGUCACGUUAAUGCAUCUGCACCCUACUGAAUCUUUACUGUAAAUACUUGUCUUUACUGAGUGCACCUAUGCUAUAGCCGUGCAGUGGUAGAUUUUAAUCCUGAAGAAGCUGCAUAAAAUAAAUAAAUAAAUAACAACUUAGAAACAACAGAAAUGUUACCUGUAGCAUAGAAACUGAGUUACAGCCACUAUCCACAUCCACCUAGUCUCCAGCAUGACUUCCGGGUGGGAAUGAGUGUUUUGUGAGGCUUCUACUCCUUUCUGAAAAUUAAUUGCAAGUUUCACUGCAGCUACAGCCGAACAGCAUCAUUCGCCGCCAUUUCACCUUGUGUUAUAAAAGGUGUAGGAGUUUCUCUGCACAGCAGGCUGAUGCUUUAGAAGAGGCAGGACAGCUGAAGCGAGGUGAUCCUGGGUCCGCGGCAAUAUUGAAAGGGACUCGUGCACUUUGUUCUUCAGAGAUGUUUAACCGAAGAGUGUCUGGUACAAUUGAGUUAAAUGAUGGUGGUGCAGACACUACUGAAGAAGCAGGAACAUUAGUUUGCAGCAGACUAAACACAUAGGUUGGCCUAUCUCACACACACACACACACACACACACACACACACACGGGUACGCCUAUAAAUCAUCUGAAGUGGUGGGCAUGACUGGCCUGCACGCCUUUCAUUUAAAACAGCUGCAGAAAUAAACGUCCUGUAAUUAUUAAAGGUGGACUGAGACCGAGGCACACAGUAAUGGACUUGUGUUGAGACUGGCACCCGGAUGGAUUUAUGACUUUACUGAAGGGGCAACUGACAGCAUGAACAGGCUUUAUGCGCUCUGAAUUUAGGUGAUAAAGUAACCAAACACACAGACUCGUGUGAGGAUUAAAGCCUUCAAAUCUGGUGCAAAUGAAUAAAGUUAAUAAACUAUUGACCUGCACAAAGAUCAUCUGAGCUGCUUUUUCAGGUCAAGUUUUUAACCUCUGAGUAAAUACCCAGAGCAGCCCUCCCUCUGCUGGACAGACAGAUUAGACGCUUUAUUUUGAUUUUCCAGGGAAAACCGAAUCAGCUCGGUUUUUCAAUAAGAGACUCUGAAGAGAGAAGAGAAAUCACGAUAGCUGCGUCUCUUACAAUCAAAGGAACAUCUACAGAUGUUUAUUAACAAGCUGUGUCAUAAACAGAGAAAAAAAAUUGAGGAUUUUUGCCGUUUUUAACAUAUUCAUCUUCCUCUAAUUAAAUUCUUGUUUCUUUGACACUCGUUUUUUGUAGAAAUUAACCGAAAUCCAGCGUUUGAAAAUCAGAAAAUUACCAUGUGUGAUUAUUUUUGUCAUUGACUGGCACCCGCAUUCAGUGUGAAGUACAAAAGCAGCUGUAAAUUAGCUGAAAUUAUACAUCAGAAGACAAACGAGUCAAAGCAUCAGGGCCUCAGCUCUCCAAAAUCAGUUUUAGACCCCCUUCAUCAUCUUGUAAUCAAGCUGUCUCAAAUCACAGAUUAUCCUCUUUACAGGAAGUAUAAUAGGCCAAAGCUGAGACAGUGUCACGAUAACGAGUGUACAACAGCCGAGAGGAGCAUCUGAGUCUUUAAGAGUCCCUGUGAAAGAAGAAAAGUCCUUUGGGCUUGAAGUAUUGUUGUUAUUUAUUACAUUUGUCUGUUUAAACCUUUUAAGGACAUCUUCAGUCACUUUACAGGUCCCCUACUAGUACUGGUUUGGACCCGCUUCUGUUUCUGAGCUGCUUUAAUUCGUCACAGCAGAGAUUCGACAAGGUGCUGGAAACAUCCCUCUCAGGUUUUGGUCGAUGUUGACAUGAUAGCAUCACACAGUUGCUGUAAAUUGAUAAUGAGAAUCUCCUGUUCAUUUGAACUCACUGUCAUGUUAUGGAGUGGUGUGUUAUCCUGCCAGAAGGAGCCAUGGGACAUGCGGGCUGAAUGGUUGGACAUGGUCAGCAACAACACUGAGACUAUCCCCUGUAAAACCUCAGAAAUGGUUGUGCAGAAAAAUCCCAGCAGAUCAGCAGUUUCUGAAACACUUGGACCAGCCCGUCUGUCACCAGCAACCAUGAGUGGAAUUUAGGAUUCUCUAGUUUGAUUUUAAAAGGAAAGAAAACAGAAAAGUUUUUUCUUUCUUCAUGAGCAGGCUGUGAGUUAAGAAAACCUCUCUGUCGUACAAUAAUGUAACCUGUUAACAGUGUCAAACGGCUUUUUGAGGAUUUUAAUGAAGUCAAAUGAAGAACUCUGGUUAAUCAAAAAUAAAAGAACCAACACUGAGCUGAAUCCUCAAGUCUGUAUGUAUUGAAAUCCUUCCAUAUUACAGGUAUAACAUACAGUACAUGUAUAUUGGUGUACAGACAGGCAAUUUAAAAAAGGGGCUAAAAUUAUUGAACGAUACAAAGAACAGCAUAUACAAAAGCUUAUUUAAUGAUUCAAGUACCUUUAACUUUAUACUUCAGUCCUCUGGAGAAUUCAAAAGCAUCUGUACAAAAUGUACAAGAAUUGUAUCCCAAGUUUCAUCAGCCCCAGGUUUCCUCUGCGAUUAACAUCUUACUGUAUGACGUGUAACUUUCAAAGAGAAGACAAGUGCAGGAGAAGCGAGGAACACAGAAACUCACAGUACAAAACUUCCAUCAGUGAAUUUGCAGAAGUCGUAUGUGAAGAUUUCACUGAACUCACCCGGAGGCGUCUAAACUGGAUCAAUCAGGUUAAUGUUUCAGCUCAACACACGAGAGGACGGAAACAACAAAUGUCUCACAGCGUGUGCAUUGUUUACUAACACAUCCGGUUACUCUGCAUCGCUCUGAGUUUAUAGGUCUGUCAUUUUCAAAAUAUAUUCCCAAAAACCUGCUAACAAGUUUCAUUGAAGGGUCGGUGUAGUUUGCUCCUAAUUAUAGUAAUGAGAGACUGUGUGCAGCUGCUGAACCUCCGAUUGA